rnacentral:rRNA from 1 species
UGCGCAGGUGGGCUUGUAAGUCAGUGGUGAAAUACUGCCGCUUAACGGUAGAACUGCCAUUGAUACUGCAAGUCUUGAGUAUGGUUGAGGUAGGCGGAAUGUGUUGUGUAGCGGUGAAAUGCAUAGAUAUGACACAGAACUCCAAUUGCGAAGGCAGCUUACUGAGCCAUUACUGACGCUGAGGCACGAAAGCGUGGGGAGCGAACAGGAUUAGAUACCCUGGUAGUCC